rnacentral:rRNA from 1 species
GAUGAACGCUGGCGGCGUGCCUAAUACAUGCAAGUCGAGCGAACGGACGAGAAGCUUGCUUCUCUGAUGUUAGCGGCGGACGGGUGAGUAACACGUGGAUAACCUACCUAUAAGACUGGGAUAACUUCGGGAAACCGGAGCUAAUACCGGAUAAUAUUUUGAACCGCAUGGUUCAAAAGUGAAAGACGGUCUUGCUGUCACUUAUAGAUGGAUCCGCGCUGCAUUAGCUAGUUGGUAAGGUAACGGCUUACCAAGGCAACGAGGCAUAGCCGACCUGAGAGGGUGAUCGGCCACACUGGAGCUGAGACACGGUCCAGGCGACUACGGGAGGCAGCAGUAGGGAAUCUUCCGCAAAGGGCGAAAGCCUGACGGAGCAACGCCGCGUGAGUGAUGAAGGUCUUCGGAUCGUAAAACUCUGUUAUUAGGGAAGAACAUAUGUGUAAGUAACUGUGCACAUCUUGACGGUACCUAAUCAGAAAGCCACGGCUAACUACGUG